rnacentral:tRNA from 1 species
GCCGAGGUGGUGGAAUUGGUAGACACGCAUGGCUUAGAACCAUGUGCCUUACGGUGUGAGGGUUCGAGUCCCUCCUUCGGCA